rnacentral:rRNA from 1 species
AUUGAACGCUGGCGGCAUGCUUUACACAUGCAAGUCGAACGGUAACAGGGUGCUUGCACCGCUGACGAGUGGCGAACGGGUGAGUAAUGCGUCGGAACGUGCCGAGUAGUGGGGGAUAACGCAGCGAAAGUUGUGCUAAUACCGCAUACGCACGGAGGUAGAAAGUGGGGGACCUUCGGGCCUCACGCUAUACGAGCGGCCGACGGCUGAUGAGCUAGUAGGUGCGGUAAAGGCUCACCUAGGCGACGAUCAGUAGCGGGUCCGAGAGGAUGAUCCGCCACACUGGGACUGAGACACGGCCCAGACUCCUACGGGAGGCAGCAGUGGGGAAUUUUGGACAAUGGGCGAAAGCCUGAUCCAGCCAUGCCGCGUGUCUGAAGAAGGCCUUCGGGUUGUAAAGGACUUUUGUCAGGGAGGAAAUCCCUAGUGCUAAUAACACUGGGGGAUGACAGUACCUGAAGAAUAAGCACCGGCUAACUACGUGCCAGCAGCCGCCGCCG